AUAUCUCAACCAUGCCGAUUUAUGAUCGGUGUGGCUUGGAUCUGGGGGGUUUUGUGCAGGCUCCAGCUUUGUGGUCUGCCCCCCUGAAAUGCAUGAGUGGUCUCAAUCCUCCAUUAGGUGUGAUAAAUUAUCUGCAUCUGAUGGAAAGGUCGUGGCUGCUAUACGUCGUUUGGGGUUGAUAA
rnacentral:misc_RNA from 1 species